rnacentral:rRNA from 1 species
AUUGAACGCUGGCGGCAUGCCUUACACAUGCAAGUCGAACGGUAACAGGUCUUCGGAUGCUGACGAGUGGCGAACGGGUGAGUAAUACAUCGGAACGUGCCUAGUAGUGGGGGAUAACUACUCGAAAGAGUGGCUAAUACCGCAUGAGAUCUACGGAUGAAAGCAGGGGAUCGCAAGACCUUGUGCUACUAGAGCGGCCGAUGGCAGAUUAGGUAGUUGGUGGGAUAAAAGCUUACCAAGCCGACGAUCUGUAGCUGGUCUGAGAGGACGAUCAGCCACACUGGGACUGGGACGCGGCAAAGACUCCUACGGGAGGCAGCAGUGGGGAAUUUUGGACAAUGGGCGAAAGCCUGAUCCAGCAAUGCCGCGUGCAGGAUGAAGGCCUUCGGGUUGUGAACUGCUUUUGUACGGAACGAAAAGCCCCGGGUUAAUACCCUGGGGUCAUGACGGUACCGUAAGAAUAAGCACCGGCUAACUACGUGCCAGCCGCCGCGGUAA